GAUUCCAACCCAGUCCUUAUGGCCCACCAACAAUCCAGAUUUAUGUAUUUCCCUUUUAAAUUCCAAUGGAGAUACUGACAAAACCUGGACUGUUGGUGGGCCACGAGGACUGGGUUGGGAA
rnacentral:miRNA from 1 species